rnacentral:rRNA from 1 species
AGCGAACGCUGGCGGCAUGCCUAACACAUGCAAGUCGAACGAGACCUUCGGGUCUAGUGGCGCACGGGUGCGUAACGCGUGGGAACCUGCCUUUAGGUUCGGAAUAACUCAGAGAAAUUUGAGCUAAUACCGGAUAAUGUCUUCGGACCAAAGAUUUAUCGCCUUUAGAUGGGCCCGCGUUGGAUUAGCUAGUUGGUGGGGUAAAGGCCGACCAAGGCGACGAUCCAUAGCUGGUCUGAGAGGAUGAUCAGCCACACUGGGACUGAGACACGGCCCAGACUCCUACGGGAGGCAGCAGUGGGGAAUAUUGGACAAUGGGCGAAAGCCUGAUCCAGCAAUGCCGCGUGAGUGAUGAAGGCCUUAGGGUUGUAAAGCUCUUUUACCCGAGAUGAUAAUGACAGUAUCGGGAGAAUAAGCUCCGGCUAACUCCGUGCCAGCAGCCGCCGUAA